UACGUAGGGAGCAAGCGUUGUCCGGAAUCAUUGGGCGUAAAGCGCGCGUAGGCGGCCCUGUAAGUCCGUUGUGAAAGUCAAAGGCUCAACCUUUGAAAGCCGAUGGAGACUGCAGGGCUAGAGUCCGGAAGAGGCGAGUGGAAUUCCUGGUGUAGCGGUGGAAUGCGCAGAUAUCAGGAGGAACACCAAUAGCGAAGGCAGCUCGCUGGGACGGUACUGACGCUAAGGCGCGAAAGCGUGGGGAGCGAACAGG
rnacentral:rRNA from 1 species